GAUGAACGCUGGCGGCGUGCCUAAUACAUGCAAGUCGAGCGAACAGACGAGGAGCUUGCUCCUCUGACGUUAGCGGCGGACGGGUGAGUAACACGUGGAUAACCUACCUAUAAGACUGGGAUAACUUCGGGAAACCGGAGCUAAUACCGGAUAAUAUAUUGAACCGCAUGGUUCAAUAGUGAAAGACGGUUUUGCUGUCACUUAUAGAUGGAUCCGCGCCGCAUUAGCUAGUUGGUAAGGUAACGGCUUACCAAGGCAACGAUGCGUAGCCGACCUGAGAGGGUGAUCGGCCACCCUGGAACUGAGACACGGUCCAGACUCCUACGGGAGGCAGCAGUAGGGAAUCUUCCGCAAUGGGCGAAAGCCUGACGGAGCAACGCCGCGUGAGUGAUGAAGGUCUUCGGAUCGUAAAACUCUGUUAUUAGGGAAGAACAAUGUGUAAGUAACUAUGCACGUCUUGACGGUACCUAAUCAGAAAGCCACGGCUAACUACGUG
rnacentral:rRNA from 1 species